GACGGGAGGUGCACUGUUCUCGUCAGCAUUACUGGGCGUACAGGGUGUGUAGGCUGUAAAUAAAGUUGGAUAGUUACUGAUGUAAUGUUGUAUAACGCAUCCAAUACUUAUUUGCUCGAGUUGUGUAGGUGCUUAUGGAACUAUACAGAUUUUUUUGCAUUGAAAAGCUUAAACUGUUAGGAACGCCAGUAGGUGAAAACGAGAAGCAACACAUAACUGACGCUAAUGCACGAAAGCGUGGGUAU
rnacentral:rRNA from 1 species